AUGUGCGACUCGAGCCGGCAAGAUCCAGCCAUAUGGCAGCCAACUCUGCCCUUCCCGAGCCUGGCGACGAAGGGGUUGGUGAGCGCGGUGGUGGCCAUGGAUGAACUCGAGCCCGGGCGUGUUGGUGGAGGCAUCUAUCUACCUCAGGGCAGCGAGCUGGAGCUGGGCCUGGACAAGGGAGUAAGCUUUUCCAAGCACUUCUUCGCCAAGUACGAGCUCGGCAAGGAGGUCGGAUGUGGCCACUUAGGAUACACCUGCGCCGCCAAGGCCUAG
rnacentral:rRNA from 1 species